rnacentral:rRNA from 1 species
GAUGAACGCUAGCGGGAGGCUUAAUACAUGCAAGUCGAACGGUAACAGAGAAUCUUUUCGGAGAAUCUGCUGACGAGUGGCGCACGGGUGAGUAACGCGUACACAAUCUACCUAUCACAGGGGGAUAGCCUCGGGAAACUGAGAAUAAUACCCCAUAGUAUUUAUUAAUCGCAUGAUUUGAUAAAUUAAAGUUCCGGCGGUGAUAGAUGAGUGUGCGUUAGAUUAGCUAGUUGGUAAGGUAACGGCUUACCAAGGCGACGAUCUAUAGGGGGCGUGAGAGCGUGAUCCCCCACACGGGUACUGAGACACGGACCCGACUCCUACGGGAGGCAGCAGUAAGGAAUAUUGGACAAUGGGCGAAAGCCUGAUCCAGCCAUCCCGCGUGCAGGAAGACGGCCCUCUGGGUUGUAAACUGCUUUUGUAUAGGACGAAACGCCUUCAUUUAUGAGGGUCUGACGGUACUAUAAGAAUAAGCAUCGGCUAACUCCG